rnacentral:snoRNA from 1 species
AUUCCAUGGUGAGGACAAUCUGAUAUGUAUCCUUGAAAACGCUCCCAUGCUUCUGAAAUGGUUUCUGUCUUCUGCUAUUGGAAACUGACAAUAUUCUUCUUAAGGCA